rnacentral:lncRNA from 1 species
UUCUCCUUUCACCAGUGCUGUGUUCCUGCUGCCAGUGCUCCUGGUGGUUUUACUUAUAUUGCUGAGCGGAGCCAUGCUUCUGGCCAGAAGAAUGAUGCUGAAGAGGAAAAAGGCUGCUGGAGCCAUUGGGCCUAGCGCAGCAGUGAAUGAGGCUGUUGCCAGCACCGGAAGUGAUGUUUCCUAUGCAACUGUGAAACCAAAAUCUAGAAAAUCCAACAUCACAGCCCCAUCACCCCACUCCGCUCAGGCCAAGCCCAGUCCAG